UACGAAGGGGGCUAGCGUUGUUCGGAAUUACUGGGCGUAAAGGGCGCGUAGGCGGUGUGUCAAGUCAGGCGUGAAAGCCCCGGGCUCAACCUGGGAACCGCGCUUGAGACUGGCACGCUCGAGUUCGGGAGAGGAUGGUGGAAUUCCCAGUGUAGAGGUGAAAUUCGUAGAUAUUGGGAAGAACACCGAUGGCGAAGGCAGCCUUCUGGGCCAACACUGACGCUCAUGCACGAAAGCGUGGGGAGCAAACAGG
rnacentral:rRNA from 1 species